AAAAAAAAAAAAUAACAACAAAAAAGACACAAAAUAACAUCAAUACAAAGCAUUUUUUCUGAUAAAAAUAAUAAAUAUGCAUUUGUCAGAGUAGAUUGUGGAAUUUAGAAUUGCAAUGUGAAUAAUUUGUUUGAGGUUACCGAUUCUGAGGUAUUUUCCUGUAGAGAAAACAGCAUACUAUGUGGUUUGAGGGCAUUUUUUCCAAAUAAUGAUGAAUAUAACCCAAAAAGAGAUAUUUUAAAAGCACAUAAAAAUGAGAAAUUCCAAAGCCCAAUAAAUUUCUACAUGGCCAUCUUCUUCCAUAUCUAUAAAAGAGGAAAAUGUUGGUAGUUUGUUUGCUUGUAAUUUAUAGACUCAAAAAUCUCUGAACAGAUUUUCUUUAAAAUUUCCAUAUAUAUUAUAGCAUCGCCUGAAAGUAACAUAGGCUAUAUACCUUUUUAUAAUGCCACUUGAAACUGGAGAUAAAUCAUCAGAAUCGGAGGAACCUCCAACAAUUUUAAAUGUAGUUUGCAAAUAUCUAUCGAUCGGUUAUAGAUGCAGUUUUUAAAUAUGAAAUUUGUAAUGAGAUUUGGUACAAAAAUAAUUUUACAAAAUUAUAUUGAAAAAGAUUUGGAUAUUGCUCCCAUAUAUUUUCCGGCCGAUUUCAUGUAUUUGUUGAACCAAUCAUGCCCAAAAAAUUGUCUUAAGGCGUUAAAUCGCACGAAAUAGGCGGCCAAGUGACCAGUCCCGAACGUGAAAUAAAAGUUGUCUCAACUAGAACGCAAUUUUUAAUUUGGGUGUCAUACGAAGAGUCAUUGUUUGACAUUUGAACAAUUAUUAUUGUUUGUUCGCGGAAGCAUAGCUGAGUGCUACCGGACGCGUCCACGGUUUGCGGAUAGUGGGACGCCCGGUAGAUAUAUCGGGCAGCUGCGAAUCAAAUAAGCAGUCGCGGACAGCUCAGCGGUUUCUAGGGGGAGAGUCUCGGACUAAAUACCCGAGUGCCUGUGAUCCCUGGACUCGACGAGGCGGCACUGGCGCCCCUAAACUAUCCAGUCAACGGCCUGGUCCACCGCAAAGGACCCCCUAAUGCUGGGGUGUUACGUAAACCGUGAACAUCAGUAUUCCAAGGUUUGCAGUCAGGGUACCGACUGUAUUAGAACGGUUGCCUCGUCGAUACCUGGGCGCCUCGACGAGUAAUAGGCUUAGCUGCCAAGUCCUUACCAUGAUAUGGAGGCUAUGUCAUGGCGGACAUCGUCACCUCCAAUGUCCCGAUAACUUAUGGAGAACAAAACUAAACAAAAAACAACAACAAAAACAAAAACAUUAACCGACAAUUAUUCAACCACCUCUUCGGAGGUGUCGACCCAGGACAUGGCCAUGGACAAGAUUUUAACUUCGGGCGGGGACGUGACUCUGGAAACGUACAGAGACGUAGUAUGUGAAAGCAUACAGCGACAGAGUGAACAGCUGUCCGCCCUUCUAGAGAAGACCACUCUAAGGCUCAGCCAAGAGAGUGUGCCCUCCGGCUUUGGGAAUGACUCACCCCUCUCUGAUGAGGAACUUGACGUCACCGUCAUACCCUCAUCUUUGAGGAGUGAGUCAGCUUCAAAAACUGUAGAGAGCACUCAAUCUGCUGCCAAGGGGGGGUCAACUCCUGUGGAAGGGGUUACAUCGGUACCUACCGAUGCGACCAACCUCCGGAUCGAGGAUGGCGUCGUGGAAAGGGAUACUGAUGUUCCAACCAACCGCGAUGCCUCCGGAUCGAAGGAGGUAAAAAUAAGGAAGGGUUACAAACGGUCGGUGAGGUACUGUAAGAGCUUCAUCGGUCGCGAACCCUUACAAAUUACAGAGAGGGAAAAAGCCCUGAUUAGGGUGAACAUGAAGGCAAUAAGGAAGUUCGAGAAGAACCAUCCGGAAGUGCCUAAAUGUACACUCGAAAAGGACCUUGCCUCUCUCUUUACAGCCCCCGCUAAUAAGGUAAGUCCGUCUGAGGAUAAGCCAACUAGUGGGGCUGGGGUGAAGGACAACACCUCUCCCGGUGGUGGAAAGACAGCUUCGGCUGUUGCACCACCAACGGAAUCUAGUGUAGCCCCCACCACUUCUAACUCAGGAAAACGGAGGAACAAAAGGAAGGACGCCCCUAACGGAAAUUCUGCCCGGUGGAACCAAAGGAGGCCAAAUCCUCUUCUCGGGUAACGAUGAAGAGAGGACGGUCAACGGAGGAACCACAUCCCGAGGCAAAGAAACCGUUAACGGGCAAACUUCCUCCUCCGCCAACUGCGGCUUCUACGCCAGUAGCUGUAGCUGGUAGGGAGGUAGUGGCAAGGCCGGUGCAAGCAGCCUCAGUGGACCCUAGGUCUGCUAAGGCGAAGCCUGCUACCACCAACCCACAACCUUCAAGCCAGACAUCAAGGAAGAGGAAACACUCCCAAACCCUGUACCCGGACAAUCUCCGUGUAGCGGUCAUCGACCGAGCUGAGCCGGAAGGCAAAAUCAGCGAAAGUCGGUGGCUUCUCAUUGAGGACCCUCUGAGGGAACAGGUUUUCCUGGGGGAGGAUCCUUCUAGGUUACAGUUUGGCAGUGCUACCGUCUACAAGGGAGUGAAGGUCAUCUGCUGCGAAAAUGAGGAGUCAAAGAACUUCCUCGUGACCGCAGUAGCUGGCCUUCAGGAACUUUGGGAUGGAAGUGCACUUGCUGCUGUAUCCCUGAAGGAUAUCCUCUGCAGGAGGAUUUUGACAGCAUGGGUGCCGCCGCCCUCUGUGGACCCGGCACGCGUGCUGAUAAUAUUGGGGAAGCAGAAUCCCAAUCUCUGCACGGACGGCUGGCGCUUGGUUGGCUCAAGUACGGAGGGAGGGGGCCUGGUCAUAAAGGUUUCUGUUGAUACUGCUGGCCAGGAAUACCUUCAGGCUCGUGGAGGAAAAUUGCACUUCGGCACAGGAUGGAUUCGGUUCCGUCUAACGCCGCUGUCGCAGUAGGAGAAACGAAGCCACAGCUGCUUAGCAUUGUGCAGAUUAACCUGCAUCACUGCAAGGCAGCUGGGGCUGAGCUUCUCCUAUCCCUCUCCAAGCUUGAAGUUGACAUAGCCCUGGUCCAGGAACCUUACAUUUUUAAGAAUAAGGUAACUGGGCUAGGGAGUGAGCGGUACAUCACCUAUGCCACCUCCAAUGGGGAAAAGGUUAGAACGUGUAUCGUCGCUAAGAAAAACUUAAACUUAAUCUUCCUCAACAAUUUCAGCGGAGGAGACGCCACGGCGGUCAGAUUGGAGACUAGGACGGGCAAAACACUAUUCCUCGUCUCCCUGUACCUUCCCUUCGAGCACCCCGACCCACCAGGCCAAGUGGUAGAGGAGCUGGCCUCAGUACUGGGUGGAAAAGGCGGCCUCAUCAUUGGAUGUGAUGCAAACGCUCACCACUCUCAAUGGGGCAGUAGUAACACCAAUGCCAGAGACUAGGAUGAUCACAAUGGGCCAGUAGGUCUCCGAGUGGAGUGGUUGUUGUUUUUACACAGCCACACAUCCUUUAACCUAACCUAACCU